rnacentral:rRNA from 1 species
CAAUAGCGUAUAUUAAAGUUGUUGCGGUUAAAAAGCUCGUAGUUGGAUUUCUGCUGAGAACGACCGGUCCGCCCUUUGGGUGUGUAUCUGGCUCUUUCUUGGCAUCUUCUUGGUGAACGUUGCUGCACUUGACUGUGUGGAGCGCUACCCAGGACUUUUACUUUGAGGAAAUUAGAGUGUUUCAAGCAGGCAUACGCCUUGAAUACAUUAGCAUGGAAUAAUAAGAUAGGACCUCGGUUCUAUUUUGUUGGUUUCUAGAGCUGAGGUAAUGAUUAAUAGGGAUAGUUGGGGGCAUUCGUAUUUAACUGUCAGAGGUGAAAUUCUCGGAUUUGUUAAAGACUAACUUAUGCGAAAGCAUUUGCCAAGGAUGUUUUCAUUAA